rnacentral:rRNA from 1 species
UACGUAGGGAGCAAGCGUUGUUCGGAAUCACUGGGCGUAAAGGGAGCGUAGGUGGGAGGAUAAGUUAGAAGUUAAAUGUGCGGGCUUAACCCGUAAUCUGCUUUUAAUACUGUCCUUCUUGAGUAUGGGAGAGGUUAACGGAAUUCCAGGUGUAGCGGUGGAAUGCGUAGAUAUCUGGAAGAACACCAGUUGCGAAGGCGGUUAACUGGCCCAAUACUGACACUGAGGCUCGAAAGCAUGGGGAGCAAACAGGAUUAGAUACCCUGGUAGU